rnacentral:lncRNA from 1 species
CAGCGGGCCGAGAGCAGGAGAGGCGAGGGGUGGUAGGUCGGCCGGUCGGUCAACAAGCGCAAGGCCCAGCUUCUCCCUUUCCGGGGCCCCGUCCCGGUUUUUGAGCUCGGCCCCCGCAGGGCCGCGGCGGCGGCUUCUUCUGGCUGAGGGGAGGGGGCGAAGAUGUAUUUAUUCCAAAUAUAGCUGCUCUUUGAUGGGAGAUGGAGGCUGUCAUACAAAGAAAAGCUUGAACAAAAUAACUGGAACUUCACAGCAAAUAUAAAUAGUGUUAUACAUUCCAAAUCCUUUGUUAGAAUACUCAGCUGAGGAUGAUGGAAGAUAAAGUCCAAAACGUAUGAGCAAGCAUAGAAUCAAAAUCAGGUGAAGUAUUAGUACCGCUUUAUAAAGUCUUAGUAAGACCACACUUGGAGUACUGCAUUCAGUUUUGCUCACCACAUUACAAAAAAGGAC